rnacentral:rRNA from 1 species
UACGUAGGGGCAAGCGUUGUUCGGAAUUACUGGGCGUAAAGGGCGCGUAGGCGGCAUGGCAAGUCGGGAGUGAAAGGCCUGGGCUCAACCGAGGAACUGCUUUCGAGACUGCCAAGCUAGAGUGCGGAAGGGGCAUCUGGGAAUUCCCAGUGUAGCGGUCGAAAUGCGUAGAUAAUUGGGAAGAACACCUGAGGCGGAAGGCGGGAUGCUGGGAC